GACGAACGCUGACGGCGUGCUUAACACAUGCAAGUCGAAGGGAGUGGCGAAAGGGUGAGUAACACGUGAGUAACAUGGCCUUUUCUUUGGGAUAAGCCUGGGAAACUGGGUCUCAUAAUGGAUGGAUUGGGAUGGGCUCGCGGCUUAUCAGCUUGUUGGGGGGGUGAUGGCGUACCAAGGCUUUGACGGGUAGCCGGCCUGAGAGGGUGGACGGUGACCCUGGGACGGGGAUACGGCCCAGAGUCCGCCGGGAGGAAGCAGUGGAGGAUAUGGAACAAAGGACGAAAGUCUGAUGCAGCGACGUCGUGUGGGGGAUGAAGGUCUUCGGGUUGUAAACUCCUGUCACCCGCGGAAUGGUAGUGGGUAAAUAAGCGCCGGCUAACUACGUGCCAGCAGCCGCGGUAAUUC
rnacentral:rRNA from 1 species